rnacentral:rRNA from 1 species
GUCCACGCUGUAAACGAUGUCAACUAGCCGUUGGUCCUAUUUACAGGAUUAGUGGCGCAGCUAACGCAUUAAGUUGACCGCCUGGGGGAGUACGGCCGCAAGGUUAAAACUCAAAUGAAUUGAUGGGGGCCCGCACAAGCGGUGGAGCAUGUGGUUUAAUUCGAUGCAACGCGAAGAACCUUACCUACCCUUGACAUCCAGAGAAUCUGUUAGAGAUAGUAGAGUGCCUUCGGGAGCUCUGAGACAGGUGCUGCAUGGCUGUCGU